rnacentral:tRNA from 1 species
GGGGGCCUAGUAAAUAUAAUUACGUGGUCUUGUCAUGACCAAAUAACAACACUAUGUGACCCCCU